rnacentral:lncRNA from 1 species
UUUUUUUUUUUUUUGACAGGAUGGGCUGGGGUUGGGGGAGGAGGAAGCAAGACUUAAGCAGAGAAGGCAAGCUCCUUUCUGUUCAUCUAACUCAAACUCUUUCCAAGUGUGAACCCAGUGGAGACCUUUUCAAACUGUAGCCAUGAAGCAGGUUGCAUGAGGCAGACCCAUCUCCUGGCAACUGUUUCCAUAGAUACAGCCCAGUUUCGGUCUGCAUCCCUUACCUAGGAAUCUUCCUGGCUAAAAAAACCCAUAAAAGUGGAAAACUCAAACUCCACAGUGCGAAUAUCUCUUGAGUCUGCCUGCACUACCCUUUCUUGAGUGUGUAUUGAUAAGACUUCAAAUGACAUUUUAAGAAAUUUAAAUUUCAACCUGAAGUCAAUAAGGACACAUCAGAAGUUUUCAAAGGAAGGAUGGAGUCUGUUGAAAGAACCGGUUGGUAAAAUGAGAAUAAAUGGAUUGAAGGAGACCCAAGUGACCACCUGGUAAUUACUUCAACAGCAGAGCGACUCAUACAGCCAGCAAUCCACUUUGUUGUGAUCUGUAGAUCCUGCCUGUGGUGUUGGAUCUAACAGCUUCUUCCCUGACCCAAGAUUAUGAAGGAUUUCUCCUGUGUUCUCUUCUAAAAAUUUUACAUUUAGGUAUAUAAUCCAUUUUGAGCUAAUUCUUUUAAAUAGUGCAAAGUAUGGAUUGAAGUUCUUUUUUUUUUUUUUGCAGAUACAUAUUUAAUUUUUCCAGCACCAUUUGUUGAAAAGACUAAUGUUCUUGCCUGAAUAGCCUUUGCAUUGUUGUUGAAAAUCAUGUUCACACAUGUACACAUUCCACUGAACUAUUUGCCUCUUUGUGAAAAUACUACUAUUUUGAUUAAUAUAGAUUUAUAGGGAGUCUUAAAAUCAUAUCUUAAAAAGAUAGUGGAAGUUAUUUAACCUUACUCUUGUUUUUAGAAAUUGUUUUGGAUAAUCUAGAUCUUUUGCGUUUCCAUAUAAAUUUUAUAAUCAGUUUGGCAAUUUAUUUAAAAUAUUCUUCUGGGAUUUUGAUGGACAUUAUGCUGAAUCGAUGGAUCGCUUUGGGGAGAACUGACAUCUUAACAAUAUUGAGUCAUCUAACAUAUGAUCAUGGAAAUUGCUCCAGUUAUUUAGAUCUUUCACAUCUUGAAGCAGUGUUUUACAGUUUUCAGUGUAUAGAUAGUUAAUAGAUUUAAAAAUAUGAUCCCUAAAUAUUCAAUGUUUUUGAUGCUAUUGGAAUUUUAAAAAAUUAAUUUCUGUUCUGAGGAAGGAAAAUAAUAAAAGAUUAAACAAGAAAAAUAAAAGAAUCAAAAUAAAAGAUAAAUCAUUGACAAAUAUAAAAAAAUAACAAAAAUAAAAUACAAAA